AUUGAACGCUGGCGGCAGGCUUAACACAUGCAAGUCGAGCGGGGUGAUGGUGCUUGCACUAUCACUUAGCGGCGGACGGGUGAGUAAUGCUUAGGAAUCUGCCUAUUAGUGGGGGACAACAUCUCGAAAGGGAUGCUAAUACCGCAUACGUCCUACGGGAGAAAGCAGGGGAUCACUUGUGACCUUGCGCUAAGAGAUGAGCCUAAGUCGGAUUAGCUAGUUGGUGGGGUAAAGGCCCACCAAGCCAACGAUCUGUAGCUGGUCUGAGAGGCCGACCAGCCACACUAGGACGGAGACACUGCCCAGCUUCAUACGGGAGGCAGGAGUGGGGAAUUUUGAACAAUGGACGCAAGUCUGAUCCAGCCAGGCGGGGUGGGGGGAGAAGGCCUUCGUGUUGUAAACCGCUUUUGUCAGGGAAGAAACGCUCUGGGUUAAUACCUCGGGGUAAUGACGGUACCUGAAGAAUAAGCACCGGCUAACUACGUGCCAGCCGCCGCCGUAA
rnacentral:rRNA from 1 species